ensembl:snRNA U6 U6 spliceosomal RNA
GUGCUUGCUGUGGCAGCACGUAUCCUAAAAAUUGGAACAGACAUAGAGAAGGUUAGCAUGGCCUCUGCACACGGACAAUACACAACUCUGUGAAGAGUUCCAUAUUUGU